rnacentral:tRNA from 1 species
UUUAAACCCUAAAUAUGAAUAAUUGUUCUUAUAUUA